UUGCGUGCUUGAUAAGGGGUAAGACA
rnacentral:piRNA from 1 species